GCCCUGGUUGAUUAAUGGAAAUCACCUACCUUCCUUAGAAUGUAAAUGAAGUAGGUCUUAUGUAGGAGACGGAGGUUCGAAUCCUUCCCAGGGCA